UCCUAGACGGCUCAGAUGGUAAAGAAUCUGCCUGCAAUGCAGGAGUCCCCAGGUUCUAUCCCUGGGUUAGGAA
rnacentral:tRNA from 1 species